GUCUUUCACCAUUGAGCACGAUAUUCGCUGUGGGCUUUCCACAUAAGGCUUUAUUAUGUUGAGGUAGUUUCCUCCUAUUCCUAGUUUACUGAGUGCUUGCAUCAUGAAAUAGCAUUGAAGUUUGUCAAAUCCUUCUCUGUACCCAUUGCAGUGAUCAGGUUGCCUUUUUCCCUUCAUUCUGUUAAUGUGAUGUAUUACACUGAUCCAUUUUCGAAUGCUGAACCAUCUUGCACUGUUUUGGUUUGCUAUUUGUUUGUGUGUUCGUUUUUCAUUGAAGCCAAAAAGCCAUCAUAAUUUCAGAGUUUCACGAAGUAUGGAGUGGUGUUUUUGUUGAUGUUGGGACUGGGGACUGGCUAGCACCAUCUCGUUGAAGGAGAGGGGUCAUCUCUUUGCUUCUUUUUCAAGUCUCCUGAAGAGUUGAGGAGAAAGCCUCACCCCUGUUGUUAUCCUGUCUUCAGCAACCCUCUUGCCUACUAAUCUUCCUAAAGAAAGAGAGAAGGGCUGCAGGCUCAGGUCCUCGGCAGGCGCUAGUAUAAAGCAAGACUUUUCAAGGAACAUUUCUUUGUCUUCACUGUUUUAAAUUAUAUGGUAACCUUCUUACUGUGAAUGGUAAUGGUUUUGCAUUCACACUAAAUAUAUGCAUUGUGCUUCUGAAGCAAAUUUUAUAAGUGAUAAGGGGAACUUUAUCAAUUAGAGUUAAUUAAAUAUAUGGUUUGUGGGUAUGAUUGGCAAAUAUCUGACAUGGAUGCCGUCUUCCCAUCACUUCCAGUUUUGUUUCAAUCCUAAUUCCAGGAACGGUCCCCAGACUCAAUGUUGGAGACAGGUGUCCUCAUUCAGGGCUCUAGGAAAUGACUUCAGGUGACUGGGUGGCUCCAUCCUCUAGGAGAAUUCCUUGGCAGAGCUGGUAGUUCUGACCCAUGGCCAGAAGCCUGCAGUCGAGGUGGGCAGGGCCAGGCAAAGAGUGGGUCAACAGAGGCCCAGGCAAAGAGUGGGGGCGGUGCUGUCUCCACUGAAAGCAAAGCAGUUGGAGGCCUAAAUGCCAGUUGCCUAGGGAAAGCCCUGGAGUCUUCUGGAGAGACCUCUGGUUCCAGCCACAGGCAGCCACCUAGGUCCUAAAGGGAUUCUCCAAACUGAAAGGCAAAUCCGUGGAAAUGCCUCAUUAGUAAUAUAAAUAUCAGCUUUCUUUAAUUUUGAAUGAUAAAUAUCAAAAUAUCACACAUUGCAUUAUUAUCUAAACUGAAAAUGUACACACAGCUCUAUCUUGGGGGUAGAAAGGCCAGGAGGAGAGAUUAGAGAGAGAGAGAGAGAAAGAGAGAGAGAGAAAGUCGCAGAAGAGUGAGUGAAUCAGAGGAACCAAGACCUAGGGGAACAUGAGGACCAAUGGGAGAGGAGCCCUGAGCAGGUGCAGGCAUGAUUCCAGUGAGCUGCACAUUUCCCCUUGUGCAAAAUCCUCAUGCCUUUCCACUCUCGUGGAAAGCUUCCAAAAAUGCUAAGCUGCUUGCUUUCUCUCAUGCGUGGCUGAAGGCAGUGUAGUGGACAAUACUUGACAUUAUUUGUCAACAGCCCUAAAGCAUUCAAACCACUUGAUGUAACAUUUUCAUUUCUAGGGAGUUUUCUGUUUGGGAAUCAUCAAUUAAGUAUAUAAAAAUACAGGUAGAAAUAUGUUACAGCAUUUUUAUAACAGGAAAAAAUAAGGACAUUGUCAAUAAGUGUGUUAAGAGGGAAAUUGCUGAAUAAGUCAUGUCUCAGUAUUCUAUACUUUGAUCACUUGAGGUACCAUCUUUAUCAUUUUUGUCAAAUCUGAGAACCUCCUGAAUUAUUAUUCACUCAAAUUUUUUUUAACUUAAAUAGUGCUUAGGCUGAAUUUAAAAAAAUGUGCAAUCAUGGGGCUGAUAGGCUGCUUACAUAAUUUUUCAAGUGCAAAUUAUAAAGGCAUUUUUAUCCAUGUGCCACCUAAGAUUCUUAGUGGUAAAAUAUCACCCUUUGGGAACUACCGAAUUAUAAUAUCAUCCAAUGUGCAAUUGCUGACGUGAGACUGUGGUUCCAUGUUUGUUUACAGGGACAGGUUUGCUCUACAGAUAUCACUCAGGACUCACUACAUGCCAGUGCCGUGCUUUGCUCUGGAAACACAGCAACAUGUAAGACAUGGCCUUUAUUUUGAAAAGAACCUUGUCUAAUAAAAAAAAACUGAUUAGAAAACAACGAACA
ensembl:lncRNA novel transcript